UACGUAGGGGGCAAGCGUUGUCCGGAUUUAUUGGGCGUAAAGAGCGUGUAGGCGGCUAGACAGGUCUGCUGUGAAAACUCGAGGCUCAACCUCGAGAUGUCGGCGGAAACCGUCUGGCUAGAGUCCGGAAGAGGAGAGUGGAAUUCCUGGUGUAGCGGUGAAAUGCGCAGAUAUCAGGAAGAACACCCGUGGCGAAAGCGGCUCUCUGGAACGGUACUGACGCUGAGACGCGAAAGCGUGGGGAGCGAACAGG
rnacentral:rRNA from 1 species